CUCGCAAUUGAAACCACAGGACUGUCAGCAGCAGUUAUCUCGGCAGUGACAUCGUCCAAUGUCUCGAUUUGCUCCGCUUCAGAUAUAUCGGCUUCUAAGCCUUCUAUCCCUGACAUUUCGUCAUAUUCGGAUAAAUAUUCGUUCUCUGAUGCGAACGAAGAAGCCUCGGAAGAUGCAUCCGUCGAAGACAGUGUUUGACGCGUAUCGGGUUUUUUCAUGGAAUGAUGCAGUUAUAUGAUAUUAACUUUAUGAAAAUGAGCUAACACGUAUAGCCAUUUUCAAUAGUACUCAAUAUGAAUCAAAGUUUUCGUAAACGGUGUUUACUCAAGAACAUAUUUUGCUAUAUUCUGGCUUCAUCACUAUCCUACUGAUUGAGCACAAAUCAAGUGAACGACACUAUUAUAUAUUAAUUUCUCUGCAGUAAUAAAUGCAAUAAUAAAG